AUUGAACGCUGGCGGAAUGCUUUACACAUGCAAGUCGAGCGGCAGCGCGGGGCAACCUGGCGGCGAGCGGCGAACGGGUGAGUAACACAUCGGAACGUGCCCAGACGUGGGGGAUAGCCCGGCGAAAGCCGGAUUAAUACCGCAUACGAUCUAAGGAUGAAAGCGGGGGACUCGCAAGGGCCUCGCGCGUUUGGAGCGGCCGAUGGCAGAUUAGGUAGUUGGUGGGGUAAAGGCUUACCAAGCCUGCGAUCUGUAGCUGGUCUGAGAGGAUGAUCAGCCACACUGGGACUGAGACACGGCCCAGACUCCUACGGGAGGCAGCAGUGGGGAAUUUUGGACAAUGGGCGCAAGCCUGAUCCAGCCAUUCCGCGUGCAGGACGAAGGCCUUCGGGUUGUAAACUGCUUUUGUACGGAACGAAAAGGUCUUCUCUAAUACAGAGGGCCCAUGACGGUACCGUAAGAAUAAGCACCGGCUAACUACGUG
rnacentral:rRNA from 1 species